rnacentral:lncRNA from 15 species
ACAACAACAACUGAUAAUGCUUCAACAGAACUAAAAGUUUGGUGGCAGUGGUUCAUCAUUGUGUUUGUGAGUCUUGCAGCACUCUUAAUAAUUAUUGUUGCUGUCAUCAGAUGGAAGAGAACUAAAGGUGUGAGCAACCACAGAUUAAACUUUUAUGAACAAGAAGUUUUGAUGAACCAGGAUUUUUAUUGUGGAAACUAAAGUCGACUCUCUUUUGUCUCUUCAGGAAAAAAAUCACAGACGGAUAAAAACAAUGUGAGUUUUAUGGUUGAGGAAUCAAAUGUUUAUACAGUUAUAACGGAGUUGAAUCAGCUCCUCUCUGACAGUGUCAUCAAGUAGAUUUUAUUUUUUUUAUGUUUCUCAGGUACAGAGCUUAAACCCUGCAGUGAAUCCAGAAACCAGUCAGGACACG